rnacentral:rRNA from 1 species
GACGAACGCUGGCGGCGUGCUUAACACAUGCAAGUCGAACGGACGGGCGCCUUUCGGGCUACUCGAGUGUCGAACGCGGGCGUAACACGUACGUAACCUGCACUUGCCUACGAGAUAACUUCAGCAAACUGAGGCUAAUACCGGUUAGGGAUCAUAUCUGCAUCGUGGUGGUUGAAAAGCUUCGGAGGGUCUGGAUGGACUCGCUGCUUAUCAGCUUGUUGGUGUGGCAGUGGCUUACCAAGGCUUUGACGGGUAGCCGGCCUGUGUAGGCGACCGGCCACAUUGGGACUGAGAGACGGCACAGACUCCGACGGGAGGCAGCAGUGGGGAAGAUUGCACGAGGGGCGGAAGCCGGAUGCAGCAACGCCGCGGGCGGGAUGACGGUCUUCGGGUUGUAAACCGCAUGCAGCAGGGGCGAAGCUUGUGGUGACGGUACCUGCAGAAGAAGCACCGGCUAACUACGUG